GCCGAGGUGGCGGAAUUGGCAGACGCAACGGACUUAAAAUCCGUCGAAGGGAUGCCUUCGUGUCGGUUCGAGUCCGAUCCUCGGCACCA
rnacentral:tRNA from 1 species